CUGUAUAUUAAGGGCUGAUAAAAUUAUAUGUUACAAAGUCUUUUUUAUUAGAAAAUUCACAAGAAGAGAGGAAAUACUGAGGAGAAAAUGGCAGAUUGUGUUUGCUGAAUUUGAUUGACGAAGAAGUCACCAUGAAAAUCACAGUGAACCAUUUGGAAAGCAAACUGCCAAAAAAUAAUAGUUAGUCAUGCUCUCAGGCUGGUAAUUGAAAGUUUUGUUCAAAUCGUACUUAAUAUUCAAUAAUUGUUUAACCAUACCACUGCUUAUCUUGGGAAUGCUGAUACUAUGGAGACAAUAAGAUAAGGUGGCUGCUGAAAAUCAGAUUUAGACACUACUUUGAUUAUAAUCAUUUUUUUUGUAUAUCCCAUGAAGGUAUUAUAUGUUAGUGGUUGUUCUAUGCUUAAUAUUUAUAUAGCAACAAAGAGUAAAUAAACUGCAAUUUAUACAUGUUAUAUUGUUGACCUAUGCUAAAAGUUAAUUACCAUAAUGAAAUGGUUUGGCUGUGUCCCCACCCAAAUCUCAUCUUGAACCCAUAAUCCCCAUGUGUCCUGCUGCUGGACCCAGUGGGAGGUAAUUGAAUCACAGGGGCAGUGUCUCCCACGCUGUUCUCAUGAUAGAGAGUUCUCAUGAGAUCUGAUGGUUUUAUAAGUGUCUGGCAUUUCCCUGCUUGUACUCAAUCUCUUGCCUGCCACCCUGAGAAAAGGUGCCUUCUGACAUGAUUGUAAGUUUCCUGAGGCCUCCCCAACCAUGUGAAACUGUGAGUCAAUUAAACCUCUUUUCUUUAUAAGUUACCCACUAUGAAGUAUUUCUUCACAGUAGCGUGAUAACUGAAUAAUACAUGUAACAAUUACAUGAACAAAUUAUUACAAGUUUGAGGUACAUCAGGUUUAAAUUAAGGAAAAAUGUUUAAAGAAUUUUCCUCCUCAAUGUUUCUUAGGGUCGAAGAGGCGUUUAUGUUUGUUUAUGAAUAGGUCCUCGAAGGUAAAACAUAGGCUUUAACAUUCUGAGGCCAAGGAUGGAGCUGUGUCUGAUUUAUAAAGUUUCAGACGCAGUAGAACAAUUGACAUGAGAAACUAGUCUUCCUCUGAGGCUGGUGAAGCUGCAGAUCAGCACACACUCAGACUUGGUACAGAGAAACAGACCAUUCUCCCAUUAGCCUUUGGUAUACUUCAGUCACCUGGGGUAGAGUGAUUUCUGUGAUUUCUAAACCUUCUGUCCUACUCAUCUUACAGGCCAUGUCCAUCCUCAGAACUCAUGCUUUCCUUUAUUGUAGCUUCUGUUCUACGACUCCUCUAAUACAUUUUUCUUAGGAGCUUCAUUGAGAUAUAAUUUAUAUCCCAUAACAUUCACAUUUGAAAUGUGGCAUCCAGUGUUUUUUAUUGUAGUCACAGACUUAUGCAACUAUCACAUCGAAUUUUAGAAUAUUUUCACCGCCCUCUGAAAAAAACUAAAUAACAAUUAGCAGUAGCUCCCCGUUUCUUUUCUCUGCCAAACCACUAGCAACUAUUAAUCUAUUUUCUGUCUUUAGCCAUUUGGCAUUCCGAACAUUUAAUACAAAUACGAUCAUUUAAUAUGUGGUCAUUUGUUAGUUUGUUUCUUUUUAAAAUAUGGGCUUUUUGACUGGCUUCUUUCACUUUGCAUAAUGCUUUCAAGGUUCAUCCAGAUUUUAGCAGGUACACAUACUUCAUUCCUUUUUUAUGCCUGAAUGAUAUUUUGUGGUAUUUUUUGCUGUUAUGAAUAAUUCACUGUUUGGCCACCGUAAAUAUGCAUGUAUAAGUCUUUUGGGGACAUGAUUUUAUUUUGGAGGAUAGAUACUUAGAUGUUGAAAUAUUGGUUCAUAUAAUAGAUCUGUGUUUAAAUAUUUGAGGAACACUUCUUGAUGGUAUUGUGACACAAAUCUAUUAUGCAUAUAUGUAUGUAUUUACAUUGAGUAUGCUUUUGGUGUAAUAUCUAUCAAAGGUUAUGAAGAUUUACUGUUAUAUUUUCUUCUAAGAAUUUACAAUUUUACCUCUUACAUUUGUCUCUGUGAUUCAUUUUUCAGUUAAUUCUUGUGCAUGGUGUGAGGUAGGAGGACAAUUUCAUUCUUUUUUGUGCGACAAUUCAGUUUUCCCAGAACUAUUUAUUGACAAGUCAAUAAAGUGAAUUGUAGCAUAGAAAAUAUUGCAUUGAAUUAUCUUGGCACCUGUAUCAAAAGUCAGUUGAUCAUAAAUGUAAGAAUUUAUUUCUGGAACCUUAUUUCUAUUCCAUUAGUUGAUAUAUCUCUCCUUGUGUUAGUACCAUAAUGUCUUAAUUGCUAUAGCUUUGUAUUAAGUUUUGAAACAGGGUAGUAUAUGUCCUUCACCUUUGUUCUUUCUUGCCAGGUUGUUUUGGCUGUUGUGGGUUUCUUGCAUUUCCAGAUGAUUGCAAAGAGCUGUUUCUCAAUUUCUGCAACAAGUGCCAGCUGAAAUUUUGGUACCAGUUUCAUUAAAUAUGUAGAACAAUUUGGUAAGCAUUGUCAUCUUUACCCCAUGAACACCAUAUUUUGUAGUCUCUAAUAUCUCUUAAAACAAACGGCCCCCAAUCCAUGCCCCCAAAAUUGUCAAAUACAGUCCAGCAAGCCUGAGUGAGUUCUGUGGAGCCCAUACUACCUGCGAUUCAAGCCAGCAACCUUGGAAUCUCCCUGAACAAUUUCUAUGGUGUCCAAUCACAUUUGCAAUCACUCCCCACACUCAGUAGGUUCUGCCCCCACAUCAUUUCUUUUCUCUAUCCUCUUUCCCAGCUUUAUAAUAUGACUUAGUUCAAGCCCUAAUCACUGGAUUAUUCAAAGUCCCUUAACAGGUUAAUUCCUACUGUGAUCAACACUUUAAAGGAAGGCAAUAGGGC
rnacentral:lncRNA from 10 species